UACGUAGGGUGCAAGCGUUAAUCGGAAUUACUGGGCGUAAAGCGUGCGCAGGCGGUUUUGUAAGUCUGUCGUGAAAUCCCCGGGCUCAACCUCGGAACUGCCUUCGAUACUGCGGGUCUCGAGUCCGGGAGAGGUGAGUGGAAUUCCUAGUGUAGAGGUGAAAUUCGUAGAUAUUAGGAAGAACACCAGUGGCGAAGGCGGCUCACUGGCCCGGUACUGACGCUGAGGCACGAAAGCGUGGGGAGCAAACAGGG
rnacentral:rRNA from 1 species